UCAAAUAAAACCUGCAAGACUGACAGGUACAUCAUAAAAUAUUUCCAUACACCAAAUAUAGAUGACCUAUUGCAUAUAGUAUUAGAAAAAAAGACCAAAACUCAAAAACUUAACUUUGACCACUGAACCAUGAAAAUGAGGUCAAGGUCAGAUGACACCUGCCCGCUAGACAUGUACACCUUACAAUCAUUCCAUACACCAAAUAUAGUAGACCUAUGGCAUACAGUAUAAGAAAAACAGACUAAAACACAAAAACUUAACUAUAACCACUGAACCAUGAAAAUGAGGUCAAGGUCAGAUGACACCUGCCAGUUGGACAUGUACACCUUACAGUCCUUCCAUACACCGAAUAUACUAGACCUAUUGCUUAUAGUAUCUGAUAUAUGGACUUGACCACCAAAACUUAACCUUGUUCACUGAUCCAUGAAAUGAGGUCGAGGUCAAGUGAAAACUGUCUGACGGGCAUGAGGACCUUGAUAGGUACGCACAUACCAAAUAUAGUUAUCCUAUUACUUAUAAUAAGAGAGAAAUUAACAUUACAAAAAAUCACAACUUUUUUUUCAAGUAGUCACUGAACCAUGAAAAUG